ACGGGAGGCAGCAGUGGGGAAUAUUGCACAAUGGGGGAAACCCUGAUGCAGCGACGCCGCGUGAGCGAAGAAGUAUUUCGGUAUGUAAAGCUCUAUCAGCAGGGAAGAUAAUGACGGUACCUGACUAAGAAGCCCCGGCUAACUACGUGCCAGCAGCCGCGGUAAUACGUAGGGGGCAAGCGUUAUCCGGAUUUACUGGGUGUAAAGGGAGCGUAGACGGCAUAACAAGUCUGAAGUGAAAUGCCGGGGCUCAACCCCGGAACUGCUUUGGAAACUGUUAAGCUUGAGUGCCGGAGAGGUAAGCGGAAUUCCUAGUGUAGCGGUGAAAUGCGUAGAUAUUAGGAGGAACACCAGUGGCGAAGGCGGCUUACUGGACUGUAACUGACGUUGAGGCUCGAAAGCGUGGGGAGCAAACAGGAUUAGAUACCCUGGUA
rnacentral:rRNA from 1 species